UUCGGUAUUUCAGUUCAGAAUCGAAACGCGAGCCGAGUCGCAAGUUGGCCGCCGCGCAGCGCGUGCUGUUUUUUUUCAGUGUGUACGUUUUGAUUGCAAAAAGAAAUAAGCAAAAGCGACGCUGAAAACAUUUUUCAUCUGCGGCCUGGAAAAGCGCCCCAAGGAAAAUGAAUAGAUAAAUUGUGUUAAUCGCCCCAUCGAGCCAGCAAAUAUUCACUGUAUAUUUAUAUUUUCUCGUGCGUACUUUUUUUUUGUUGCCCGUGGGCAACGCUCUUUUGUUGUUAAUUGUGCAGCUGCCCGCCUGCGAAUGAUAAAAAUGUCAUAGACGACGUGUCCCCCGACCCCCACAAACCCCCCUCUAAAAGCGUCGGACGACUGCGUCGCCUCCACAUCAUCCAGCCAUGACCAGAGGCAAUCGAUGAUUGCCAUUCCCUCAGCCAACGAGAGCCAAUAGAGGCAGCCGGAAGAGCCCGCCAUUCGAACACAUCAAAAGCCGGAGGAGGAGCAGCAGCAGGAGGAGGGGCUUCCCCCUUUUGAAAGCCAAGGACUAAAGUCACGCGGUCAACAUGCUGAUCAAGGAGUACCGCAUUCCACUGCCCCUCACCGUGGAGGAGUACCGCAUCGCCCAGCUCUACAUGAUAGCGAAAAAAAGUCGCGAGGAGAGUCAUGGCGAAGGCAGUGGAGUUGAGAUAAUCAUCAAUGAGCCCUAUAAGGACGGACCCGGCGGAAAUGGUCAGUACACGAAGAAAAUCUACCAUGUGGGCAACCAUCUGCCUGGCUGGAUCAAGAGUCUCUUGCCCAAGAGCGCUUUAACUGUGGAGGAGGAGGCGUGGAACGCCUAUCCCUAUACCAGGACUCGCUACACCUGCCCAUUUGUGGAGAAGUUCUCGCUGGACAUUGAGACAUACUAUUAUCCGGAUAAUGGCUAUCAGGAUAAUGUCUUCCAGUUGUCCGGAAGCGAUCUGCGUAACCGCAUCGUGGAUGUGAUUGACAUUGUGAAGGACCAACUGUGGGGCGGCGACUAUGUGAAGGAGGAGGAUCCCAAGCACUUUGUGUCUGACAAGACAGGACGUGGACCCCUCGGCGAGGACUGGCUGGAGGAGUAUUGGCGCGAGGUGAAGGGCAAGAAGCAGCCGACGCCACGCAACAUGUCCCUGAUGACCGCCUACAAGAUCUGCCGCGUGGAGUUCCGAUACUGGGGCAUGCAGACGAAGCUGGAGAAGUUCAUCCACGAUGUCGCGCUGCGCAAGAUGAUGCUGCGCGCCCACCGGCAGGCGUGGGCGUGGCAGGAUGAAUGGUUCGGCCUAACCAUCGAGGAUAUCCGCGAGCUAGAGCGACAGACCCAACUGGCCUUGGCCAAGAAAAUGGGCGGCGGCGAGGAGUGCAGCGAUGACAGCACAUCCGAGCCGUAUGUGAGCACGGCGGCCACCGGUGCCUCCACAACGGGCAGCGAACGCAAGAAAUCCGCUCCAGCCAUACCGCCCAUCGUCACCCAGCAACCGCCGAGCGCCGAGGCCAGUUCGGAUGAGGAGGAGGGCGAGGAGGAGGACGACGACGAGGACGAGAACGACGCCAUUGGCACGGGCGUGGAUCUGUCCGCCAACCAAGGUGGAUCCGCCCAACGAUCCCGCUCCCAGAGCAUCCAGAUGGCCCAGAAGGCCAAGUUCGGUUCCAAGGGCGCCCUCCACUCACCGGUGGGAUCUGCCCACAGCUUUGAUCUUCAGUCCAAAAAGCCGCAUGCAAAGACAGCGCCACGCAGACAUGUGGCAAACUGGCGCAUGGAGCGAUUGGAAGUAGACUCCAAAUCCAAUUCGGAUGAAGAAUUCUUCGAUUGUUUGGAUACCAAUGAGACGAACUCGCUGGCCAAGUGGAGCUCCCUGGAACUGCUGGGCGAGGGCGACGACAGUCCGCCGCCACAUGGCGGUCCCUCUAGCGCCGCAUCCGUGGGUGGACGUGGCAAUUCCCGGCAGGAGGACAGCAUCUUCAACCAGGACUUUCUGAUGCGCGUGGCCUCGGAGCGCGGGAACAAGCGGCAGCUACGCUCCUCGGCCAGUGUGGAUCGCAGCCACGAUUCCUCGCCACCUGGAUCACCGAGCACACCGUCAUGCCCCACCACCAUCCUGAUCCUGGUGGUCCAUGCGGGCAGUGUUUUGGAUGCGGCCAGCGAGCUGACGGCCAAGAAAUCGGAUGUGACCACAUUCCGCGGCUCCUUUGAGGCGGUGAUGCGCCAGCACUAUCCGAGUCUCCUCACCCAUGUGACCAUCAAGAUGGUGCCGUGUCCCUCGAUUUGCACCGACGCCCUGGGCAUUCUCUCCAGCCUGAGUCCGUACUCCUUCGAUGCAUCACCCUCGGCGGCGGAUAUACCGAAUAUAGCCGAUGUCCCGAUUGGAGCGAUACCCCUGCUAUCCGUAGCAUCGCCGGAAUUCCAUGAGACGGUCAACAAGACGGUGGCCGCUGCCAAUAUUGUCUAUCAUGAGUUCUUGAAAUCGGAGGAGGGCCACGGAUUCUCCGGACAGAUUGUGAUGCUGGGCGAUUCAAUGGGUUCACUGCUGGCCUACGAGGCCCUGUGCCGAUCCAAUGGCAGCCAGCCGGGCACGGCAUCGGGUGCCUCGAAUUCUGGUGGAGAUGCGGCUAGCAAUAUAAAUACCCACAAUCCGUUGGGCCCACGUCAUUCGCGUUUGGACGAUGAUGAGCGUUUUAUCGAGGCCGAUUUGGAUGCCAAGCGCUUGCUGGUGGCUCCAUCGCCACGUCGACGUCGUUCCAGCUCGUCGAGCGAUUCGCGAGCCUGCAAACUGGACUUUGAGGUGUGUGAUUUCUUCAUGUUCGGAUCGCCGCUGUCGGUGGUGCUCGCCGCACGGAAACUUCACGAUGCCAAGGCCGCUUUGGCCAGGCCCAACUGCCAUCAGGUGUACAAUCUGUUCCAUCCAACCGAUCCGAUUGCCUCGCGUCUGGAGCCGCUCCUUAGCGCCCGAUUCUCCAUUCUGUCGCCGGUUAAUGUCCCGCGGUACGCCAAGUAUCCGCUGGGAAAUGGUCAGCCAUUGCAUUUAUUGGAGGUGAUUCAGUCGCAUCCGCAGCACUUUAACGAUGGCAACAACCUGUUGGCCGGUCGCCGAUUGUCGGACGCCUCGAUGCAGAGCACGAUAUCGGGUCUGAUUGAGAAUGUCUCGCUUAGUACGAUCCAUGCCCUUCAAAACAAAUGGUGGGGCACCAAGCGCUUGGACUACGCUCUAUAUUGCCCGGAGGGAUUGAGCAACUUUCCCGCUCACGCCUUGCCGCAUCUUUUCCAUGCCAGCUACUGGGAGAGUCCGGAUGUGAUCGCCUUCAUCCUGCGGCAGAUUGGCAAAUUCGAGGGCAUACCCUUUGUGGGCUCCAACGAUGACAAGGACAAUGCCUCCUUCCAUCCGGGACAACCGAGGGAGAAGUGGAUCAAGAAGCGUACGUCGGUGAAGCUGAAAAAUGUGGCCGCCAAUCAUCGGGCCAACGAUGUGAUCGUCCAGGAGGGCAGGGAGCAGCGUCUGAAUGCCAGAUUCAUGUACGGACCUCUCGAUAUGAUCACACUGCACGGCGAGAAGGUGGAUGUGCACAUUAUGAAGGAUCCGCCGGCGGGCGAGUGGACAUUCCUCAGCACCGAGGUGACGGACAAGAAUGGUCGCAUCUCGUACAGCAUUCCGGAUCAGGUCUCCCUGGGCUAUGGCAUUUAUCCCGUGAAGAUGGUGGUCCGUGGCGAUCACACUUCGGUGGAUUGCUAUAUGGCGGUGGUGCCGCCCUUAACCGAAUGCGUGGUCUUUAGCAUUGAUGGAUCCUUCACGGCUUCGAUGUCAGUGACGGGCAGGGAUCCCAAGGUACGUGCGGGAGCCGUCGAUGUCUGUCGCCACUGGCAGGAGCUGGGCUACCUGCUCAUCUACAUCACCGGGCGGCCGGAUAUGCAGCAGCAACGCGUGGUGUCCUGGCUGAGCCAGCACAACUUCCCGCACGGCCUGAUCUCGUUUGCCGAUGGUCUGUCCACCGAUCCACUGGGCCACAAGACAGCCUAUCUCAACAAUCUAGUGCAGAACCAUGGAAUCUCAAUUACCGCCGCCUACGGCAGCAGCAAGGAUAUAAGUGUCUACACCAAUGUGGGCAUGCGUACCGAUCAGAUCUUCAUCGUGGGCAAGGUUGGCAAGAAACUGCAGUCCAAUGCCACUGUGCUGAGCGAUGGCUAUGCCGCCCAUUUGGCCGGAUUGCAGGCGGUGGGUGGUUCGCGUCCCGCCAAGGGGAAUGCCCGCAUGGUCAUCCCCCGCGGAUGCUUCAAUCUUCCCGGCCAGACCGCGAAUCCGCGGCGCAGAAGCAAUGCUUUCGAGCUGCAAUUGGCCAACAUCAGUCCCUGCAGCAGCAACAUCAACAGUCCCAGCAGCAGCAACCACAUCCUACUGGCCCAACUGAUUGAGAAUGCCAUUGAGAAGGACACGCCAGCUGGCUAGGAAAAUUAUUAAAUUAGAUGAACAUGUUUUUUGUUUGGUUUCCCAAUCCUGAUUUUAAGUUAAUCAAUUGAUAGUCUCAUCCAUCCCUCUCAAAAAACUAGUCCGCCACGAAUCGUAUUGUAUUGUAUUUUAUUAUUUUACAACCUUAAGUUUCACGUAGAACAAAUGCCGUAUUAUUUAUGCUAUAAGUUAUUACUAUAUUAUGAUUAUAACUAUUAUGAUUACUGCGUUUAUGUACUAUCCCUACUUGUAUUUGUAUGAUAUUAUUUUGUUUGCGAGCAAAAGCCAAAAUGCAACAAAACCUAUAAAAAAAAAAUACGUACGCCAGUAUGUAAUACCAAAUAAAUAAAAGCAGUACAGUAAAUGGGCCUAUUGGGCAUAUGUAUCCUAUAUAGUAUAUAUACAUAUAUGAUUUAUAAUGUUUCGAUUACGAUUUGUAUCUUUUCUUUGUUUGUUCCUUGAUUUACGGAUAACCAAUACAACAAAAAUAAUAAUAAUACCAAAAAAAACGCUUUACGCUUCACGGCCUCGAAACCCACCACGCUGUUCAAAACCCACCACGCCGACAAUUACACCCCACACAAAACACACCAUCAGGCUGCAUGAACAAGCAACGAAUGAAAAUUAAAUUGCAACUUAAACAAACAAUAGUAAAUUGUUUAGAGCAAUAAAAGCAAACAAUAAAAGCAUCUUGUAAACAGAUAGAAGCGAAACAAAAACCAAAACAAUACAGACAAUUGAUGUUAGUUUUAGUGUUCUAGAAUAUUACCCAUACUCCCCACACACACUUUUAAGUUUUUUUGUUAAGUAUUUUGAAGCAUACCUAGCUGAGCAUUUUACUGAUUGAUUGAUUGAUUGGUGUUGUGAAAAAAGAAACCAAAUUGAUAAAAAACCUUUGAAAAACCACCCUAAGUAGAGGUGAUAAAAAGUCGAUUGUUAUCGAUCUUAGAAAGUUCUCCACUCUAAACCACACUUAGAGCCAAAAUUCAACUCUUUCUCAACGUUAACUCUGUCUCUCUUUUUCCAAAAACCAAAAUUUGCUUGAAAAACAAAAAAUAUAAAACAAACAACACCCACACACACACCACACACGCACACACUGCCAUCGACCUUGUUAUCGACCUUGCUAUCGAUAAACAGCAACGAGACGGGACUAUCAUCACCCAUACGCAGUGGUUACCUGAAGCGCAAAACCUACCUGAGCCACCACUAGAGCCACAGAGAUGCAGCUACCACCCAAAUAGAUUGAUCCAUCAGACAGAAUGAAAUCAAAUAAAAUCCCUCAGUACCCAAAAAUAGCACUCCCUUCGAAAUAGAAUACAAAAAUAUAGCCAAAGGACGACGAACAUCGAUGCCUCCAUAUGCUACAUCUGUGUAUAUACCAUAUAUAUAUAUAUAUUUAUAUACUAUGCGCGAUAUAUUGAAAGUUCAAUGGUGUAAUAUACAUAUAUAUCAAAAACCAAAAUUGCAAAAGAGAAAAAACAAUUGUACAACAUUUAACCAAAGUCAAAUGUGUCACGCGGUACCUGGAAAGAAAGACUGUUUCCUCCUGUUGUUUGAUGGUUUUUCAAACCACUUAAAGCAUUAAAAAAAACAUUGAAAACUACACGAAACAAAAGCCGAUUGUAAAGCUAUAUACUAAACACAAUUAAAAAAAGAUAUAUACAAAGGAUAUAUUCAAAAUAUAGAACCGUUUAACAUAUGCAAGCGAACCAAGUUCAACAAACCACGUGAGGUACAACAACCGAAGGACAAACUAAUGGAACCGAAGAUCUCCCGAUGAGUAAGGAUACAACUAAGACAAGGACGGGCGUUGCAAAAUCAAAAGGCAAAUUAAAUGUGCAUUUCUUGACAAACAACCACUACAAAAAGUAUAAAUUAAACGGCUUCCGUAAACCA